GAGUGCUUUAAUGACUUAAAGCAUUUCCCCAUCUCUAGAAUGUUUCUACUUGCUUUUGAGGAGUCAUGACAUAGCCAAUUAGAUGGCCAAUUUUCAUGCCAGAGGGUGGUCUUCCCCUUAGCAAGUCAAUUAAAAUAUACACUCCUUCCUUGGUUUUCUUUCGAGAUAGUCUAUUUAUAGCUAUCCAUCUGAUUUUCAUUACUAGAGGCAUAAUUGAUCUUUUGUCCCGUUCUGAAGUUUGUAUUCACCUGUCUUACAGGUUAGUAGAAAAAUUAAUUAUCCCUCUGGCUACAGAUAUAUCUUGGUACUUCAUGAGAAGUUUGUCAGUGUAGGUGGAGUCCUUUGUGUUAGAGUGACACUGGGUGAUUAGUGGGGGAGUCAGAGCAGCUUACAUGCUCAUGCUUGUACUUGUUGUUACAUUGACGUGGUCACUAUCAGGGUUUUGAGGAGGUCUGGUAACAAAAACCAAAAACCCACUUCAGCUGAGUUCGUUUAAGGAAGAGCUUGAAAUAGAGAUUAAUUUGAAAAUAAUAUACUUGGACUUUUCUGUUAUCAUGAGUACAUAAUAGAAGGUUAACAAGGUAGUAAGAUAAGCGAAUAUUAUGUGACUAAAAUGACCAUUUUGCAUGUACUAUUUAUAUAAUUUUGCUAUAGUUAAUCUGGUUGAUUGGAGUUCAAUGAGUUCAGUGAGUUACAUGUAUUUUCAUUCUAACUUUGUUUUUACAAAAACGAAAAAGUUGCUCUUUUGUCUCCUUAUGGUCAAGAGUUUUGUUAUGUGUGAAAUCAUUACUUGUGUCUUAUUACAGACUUUAGUGGCCUUUAUGCCCUUUUGGCAUAUAAAGAACACCUAAACAUAGUAGUUGUAGAUCAGGAGUCAUUGUAUGUAGGUAGUGUGAUGUAAUCCUUCAAAAUAAAUUUGAUCUCAGAUCAUAAAAUAAAAUAUUUGUUGAGUGUAUUACACAUUCCCUCGUUUUUUAAAAAUUAAAAUAAAAAAAUUUGCAGAAUCCUGAACAAUUCCGUGACUCUGCUCAAUUGUGCAAAUCCAUUAAAUCCUAAAUUUUACUGGUGUUCUGGGGUUUUAUCUGUAAUUUUUGACAAUGUUGUUUGUUAGAAAUGGAGUUUUAUAUGUAAAUAUAUACAACACUUAGUCCAAAUUGUACAGGUCUGUUUCUGUACAUUGUGAUCUCAUUAUCACUCAUUAAUUGUCGAAUUACCUAAAAUUGCUCUCUGUAUAACCCAGUUGUCCUUUUAUGUUAUUGUUUUAAGUCUGUAUGUCAGUGUGUGGGUGACAAACAGGUAGAAAAAUUUCUCCAGCUUCCCAAACGUGAAGUAUUUUUCUUCUCCUCUCAAAAAAUUACACCGUAGAACAAAACUAGGAAGAAAGCACGCACAUCCUUUGCAAAGCCAGUCUGUUGGGUCAUGCGCAGAGCACAGCCAAGCACUGAGACUGAGAUUGUAUUGACAAGAACAAGAUGAAUGGCCCCCUGGAGACUAUGGGGUUUGUAUGCUCGUUUCCACCACCUUUUCAUCCUUUUGUACCCCCUUUCAGUUCAUAUGCAGAUUAACUCAAACCAAGUCCACACUAAAUACUCUUUUUCACUUUAGUUUUGGAAGGUAGGUGGAGGAUCUAAAUAUUUAUGAGGCUUUUUUCCUCUGGUUUAUGAUGCACUCUUGUUGAAUGUUGAGGAAUUACGUUAAUGAAUGCAUGCCUGCACACACAGACACAGAAACUAGGCAAAAGGAAAAAAAAACCACACAAAGCGUUGUCAGCUCUAAUGUCGGCGCUUACUAAAACAGUUCCCAUAAAAAAAAAAAAGGCAAAGAGAUUUAAAAUCCAUUGCCAAGAGAAAAAUAAAUUGUAUGACUGAGCACAAAAGAAAGAACAAAGUUUCAUCUUUGCUUUCCUCAGUUGUAAAUGAAACUCUUGUUUCAGCUCUGAAUAAAUUUGAAAUAGAACGUGUUAAUUGAAAAAUGAAAGCUUGUCUAAAAAGUCUUAACUGGAUUUCUGUUUUCAGUAAUGAAGAAAAGGCAAAGCUUUGGUCCUGUACAGUUUAACAUCAGUAGUAAUAAACAUGGUAGUAUUUUCUGAUAUGAUAAAAGGUGCAGUUAAGUAUGCUUUAAUGAGACAAGUCAGAUAACUCAGUGAUGCUGAUUUUGCCAACUUCAGUACAUUUAUCCAGGAGAGUUAGUUUUUGUGAGACUAAAGGUAUUUCUGAAAACUAAACUGUCUUUUUUUCAAAGCUAAAUGGAAUAUACUGGAAUAUCCAGAUUAUAGCUGGAUAUACUAGAAUAUUUAUUUUCAAAAUUGUUAGUUCAAAACUAACUUAAGGAAUAUGCCUUUUUUAGAUGGAAGAAUAUAGGGCAUUAAAAUACUAGUAUUGAAAUAUGGGUAUUUUAAUUCUUUUAAUACUGCAUUGUCAAGAAGAGUCAACUGUUCGACUUCUAAUCAUCUCUGCCUUCCUUCUACCCCUUUUUAUUCUCCAAAACACACAUAGCAAUGCCAGACAGGGCCACGGCUCACACAGGUGGGACAGUAAAUUCUUUCACAUUCAGGAACCAGAACAUGAGAUUUUAAAAUGUGCUUUUGUGCUAUAAUUUAAAACCUACUGAAGCAAUUGCAAAAUACUAGCUCUUCAAGUGCAAUAGUAUUUAACUGUCUAGGCUCAGUUUUUCAUGUUUAUAAUAUGCCUAUCUGAAGUUAAUAAAACAUUGUCCUAAUAUUUUCAUCUUUUUAUUGUACUUUGUUUUCAAGAUAUUUGGUUUCAUGUGUAAUUAAAUCCAAUAAAGCCAUGUAUAUUUCAUUUAUUCUAAAGUUAUUGUUUAUGAUCUUAAAAUGCAAAUUUUGCUAUUUUCAAUGACUUCGCCUGUGAUAUUCAAGGGUUAAGUGAAAAAAUUUGGUUUAGCAGAUCCCAAAACAGUAAAGAGGUAUACAACCUAAUAGCAAAUUAGUAUUUAACAACUGAAAUCGCAUCACUUUUGUUUAAUCUUUCAUCCUUUAGCCUAAAUCUUCUCCCUCUUGCCUUUUUUUUUCCCCCCUACAUAGCCAGUUAUGACCACAGACACAGUUUUAGAUAUUACUUAAGUACUUAAGCUCCUUAAUAUGAACAAAAAAAAUCUCAGUUCUGUCUCUUAACUGGGGAGAUUUCAAACUUACUUGGAUUUGUCCAUCCUGGGCAAAUUGAAGCACUUAUGUAGUAUCUUAGCGAAACAGAUUUGCACAUCUGUACAGUGAAAUGCCUCUUUUCUUUCUGUGGGUGGAUUUGCAGGUGGGGGAUGCACGACUUCCUUAUAUAUAUGUAUAGCACACAGUGCAUUAAUAGGAAAAUGAAGAAAAUGCAUCAAGCUAAUAAAUGUUGGAAGAGAAAGCAUCAGGGAGAUGAGAUACUUGAAUACGCUUUGAAGAAGGAAGAUGCAGGGGUAGAGGCAGGCAUAGGACAGCUUUUAUAUGGAGGACAGUAAGGGAAAAGCAAAGUUGAGAGACUCCUUGGCUUGAGCAGGGGGCUUUGGGGCUCCCUUUAAGAUAUUAACACUCCCAAAUGGAGGAAAAAAAUAGCGCACCAGCCAAGAUCCUUGAAAGUAGUUUUUUUGGGGGAUGAGAAAGGUGGAUGAACUAUAGGCCUAAAUCAGGGAACAGGCAUGUUCUACAGGACAAGAGUCCUGUAGAAGGCUUUACUUUAUAAUACCAAAUAAGUACAGCCCCCAGCCCCCAAAAAUUAUUAUGAUGCUGAUAAUAAUGAGUAAAUAAAUAAAUACAAAAUUCCCAAAGCCAAAGAGCUUAUAGCCCACAGGAGUGCCAUAUUAAUGAUAAGGAAAGCAAUUAUCUGUUCUUUUCCCAAAAGGAAAUGGCACAGGAAAAUACAAGAAUGUACAAAGAUGACCCCAAGGUAGGCAUGUCCCUGUCAUCUGCAUCUAAGUCCAGCCUGCUUCUCCAGGCUCAGAGGUUCAUGUGGAAAGGGAGGAGCCAGAACGUCCUGCUUCCAGACGAUGAAAACACACAAAUAAAACACUAAUGCUUUCAGUGGAUUCUUAAAUGCAAGACUGUGAGCCUACCUAGUGAUCUGCCUUAUGAAGUUUUGUUUCAAAAACAGCUAAGGAUAUGAGCAUAUUUCUCACUCCUGAUCAGAGAAUCCCACAAUGGAUUCAGACUUUAGGUCCCUGGGCAAAAUCCUAAUUCCUGUGGGGAAAACAACAGAAAGAAGAAAAGGAUUACCAAACAGGUUGAAAUUUUCAGCAACAGAAGUUCCCCUUUGGUUGUUUGUACUCACUUUACAUUUCUACUGUUUUUCCAUUCAAUUUACUCAAAUACAGAAAUAACAAGAUAUGGAAGAAUUUAAAAAAAAAAAAAAAAACAA